AACGAACGCUGGCGGCAUGCCUAACACAUGCAAGUCGAACGAGACCUUCGGGUCUAGUGGCGCACGGGUGCGUAACGCGUGGGAACCUGCCCUUAGGUUCGGAAUAACUCCCCGAAAGGGGUGCUAAUACCGGAUAAUGUCUUCGGACCAAAGAUUUAUCGCCUUUGGAUGGGCCCGCGUUGGAUUAGCUAGUUGGUAGGGUAAAAGCCUACCAAGGCGACGAUCCAUGGCUGGUCGGAGAGGAUGAUCAGCCACACUGGGACUGAGACACGGCCCAGACUCCUACGGGAGGCAGCAGUGGGGAAUAUUAGACGAUGGGCGAAAGCCUGAUAAAGCCAUGCCGCGUGAGUGAUGAAGGCCUUAGGGUUGUAAAGCUGUUUUACCCGGGAUGAUAAUGACAGUACCGGGAGAAUAAGCUCCGGCUAACUCCGUG
rnacentral:rRNA from 1 species